GUGGGCGUGGGCUGCCGCACAGGGAACAGUCUGCCUGGGGCUUGGCUGUCCUCAGGUUGCCUUCCCACCGGUGACCAGCGCUGGCCGUUGGGGCCCGGCUCGCGGCCUUCACCCAGGAGGGGAGCUCGGUUCAAAUCUGCAAGCCAGGGUGGGCCAUGCUGCCCCACUGCCCCCUGACCUCCAACCUUUCUCUGGACACUGGCAGAGCUGGAGCAGAGGAGGGUGAGGGUCUCUGGGGACCCCCACCCCCAGCCAGCCCCUUCGGCUUCAGCAGCACAGCACAUGAGGACAGUGCAGCCUCCAUGGACACUGCAUGCUGCACCAGCCCCGUGCCCAAGUUGCCGAAGUUCGGGCGGCUGCUCCGUGCAGGUGCCUCAGGCAGAGGGGACUUCGUAAUCCUUCUGUCCUCCCCCCUGGGCUGCUAUUGAGGUGACAGAGCUUGUCCUGGGACCAUGAUAGGGGGCCUUUGUGGCGGGAAGGGCCUCUCGGUCCACUCUGGCGUAUGCAUGAAAGAGCUGGACUUCAGCGGGAGGGUCUGGAACCCCGUGCUUGUAACCUGUGCUCUAUGUGGGCCCACUCCCCUUCCGUGAAGGGUCACGGUGCAGUGGCCUUUCAGGAGAGUGAGGGUCCGUCCCCACAGGCCUGGAGUCAACAUGUCUGAGAGCAUCAGGACUAGAGAAAAUCCAGACCCUCCUCGAUAGCUCCGCCCACCCCCAGUCCCGCUGCUGCUGGCUUAUUAGAAUGGCUAAAAUUCGCCAGUCUCACAACGCCCACUGUUGACCAGUAUGGAGGACAAUGGAAAAGCUCGUCAUGGCUGGUGGAAUGAAGGUUGAUACAGUCACCUCGGAAGGCAGUGUGACAUUUUCAUAUAAAGCUAACGUAGUUUUACACUACGAACGGCAAUCAUGCUUCUAGGUAUCUACCUGACUGAACUGAAAAUCCAUGUCCACACAGAGCUGCACACAAAUGCUUGCAGUAGCUUCAUUCAUAAUGGCUGAAGCUGGAAGCAGGAAGCUGUCCCUUCACAGGGGAUGAAUGGGCUCUCUGUGGUCCACACAUGCACGGGGACACUCUCGAGUGCUGGAAGAAUGAGCUGUCGAACCUGAAGAGUCAUCCAUGAAUCUUUUUUUUUUUUUAAUGGAUGGGAACUUCACAUACCAUGAAAUUAACCAUUUUACACCGAGCAGCUGAAUAGCAUCUAGUGUCACAAUGCUGUGCUCUUCUCUCUAGUUCCCAAACCCUCCCAUCACCCCGAAAGCAAGCCCUGCCCCCUUUAAGCAGUGGCUUCCGACCCCUCACUGAAGAUAUGGAUGACUUUUGUGGGGAGUCUUGUCACCCUACAAUAUGAAAAAGUUUUCUAUCUGUGAACACAGAUGUCUUUACAUUUAUUUAGGGUGUCUUUAAUUUCCUUUCAUGUUUUGUGUUUUGUAGUUUUCAGUGUAUGUGUCUCUCCUCUCCUUUGUUAAAUUUAUUCCUAGGCAUUUAAUUCUUUUAGAUGCAACUUUAAAUGGAAUGCUUUCUUCAUUUCCUUUCUGGAGUGUCCCUGGAUGGCGUGAAUGAACCUUAAAUGCAUAUGGCCGAGUGAACGAAUCCAGUUUUAAAGGGCCACAUACUGUAUGACUUCAUUUAUAAGCCACUCUGGAAAGGGCAAAACUAUAAUUAAGAUAAUGCUGUCAGUGGAUCCAGGAAUUGGGGGAAGGGUGUUGAACAGGUGAAGCACAGGUGAUUUUUAAGGGGGUGAAACUAUUCUGUAUGAUAUGCAACGGUGGGCCCACGACACGAUGCCCUUGUCAAAAGCCAUAGAGCUUUAUGGCAUGAAGAGUGAACCUUAACGCAUACAUUUAAAAAAUCAUUUAGGAGAUCCUGAAUCUCAGGAUGGAAUACAGACUGUAAAACCUGUCUACUGACAUUACACAUUUUGAUACAGUGUACUGGCGGUGGCAUCCUAGGUAACUUUCCAAACGCAUGGAGUUUGCAAGGUAGAUGAGCGUCUGUUGGGGCUGCCAUGCUGACCUCAGUGUGUCCACGUGGACACGCGCUGACUGCUCGGAACCACCGCAUGUGCAUCCUGGGACCCAACCACUAGGUACCGGGAGGCACCUGGUACGGGCUUCUCGCUGUUGGGCCAGAGGUUCCAGACGACAGGGAGGAAGGCUAGAGAGGUCCGUGAGGCUUUGGGUUAGGGCUGGACACACCGCUGUGUUCUCAAGUUUAGUUGCAUAUAGGUAGAGAAGACUAGGUUCAGAAAUACUGGUAGACACCAGUGUGUACCUGGGGCGGGACACACGCAUUUCCUUGCUCUGUCAGCUAAGCCAUCAUAGAAGUAAUGAUAGCCCAGUAGGUUGAGCACAUCUAUCACCAAACUCCUGGUUUCUGAUAACAUUCCAUGACCAAAGAAAACAGAAUUAAUUAGAGAAAAGGCUAAUUCCAGGGCUUGGAGAAGGAGUAUGCAAGACAAGGCUAGGGCAUCUUAUGUACACAGUUCCACAACCUAAAGAAUCUUCCAAAACACAAAACCACAGAGGAAUUUCAAAAGGAUACAGGAGCCAACCCCAAAGUUUAGCCAACCUCAGACUAAGACUGGAACAAUUGGAACAAAAUAAAAAUGUCGUGUUUAAUUUUUUUU